rnacentral:rRNA from 1 species
GACGAACGCUGGCGGCGUGCUUAACACAUGCAAGUCGAGCGGAGCGGCGAACGGGUGAGUAACGCGUGAGUAACUGCCCCCCUCUCUGGGAUAACAGUUGGAAACGGCUGCUAAUACCGGAUAGUGGGGGAUGACUCGCGUCCUAUCAGCUUGUGGGUGGGGUAGUGGCCUACCAAGGCGACGACGGGUAGCCGGCCUGAGAGGGCGACCGGCCACAUAGGGAUGAGAUAGGUACCCAAAUCCUACGGGAGGCAGCAGGGGGUAAUAUUGCACAAUGGGGGAGGCCCUGAUGCAGCGAGGCCGCGUGCGGGAUGACGGCCUGCGGGGUGUAAACCGCGUUCUGCCAGGACGCGGUAGUGGCUCACGAAGCACCGGCUAACUACGUGCCAGCAGCCGCGGUAAUUC